UAUAGUCUUCCACUUUCUAGCCAGAAUAUCAAGAAAAUUGAAAAAUAGAGGGAGAAUUAUUUUUAGUUAGCUUCAGAAACCUUUUUUUUACCAUUUGAAAUAAGAAAUGAAAAGUCUUUCUUUGUAGUCAGUUUCAAUCUUGAAGAAAAUUAUUUUUACGUUCCCAAAGUGGAAAUUGACCCUAACACUAUCUUACCACCAAGAGAAAAUUCGCCCAACUCUUAAUUCUGCUUCAAUCUCAACAACUAACAUGAUAUCUUUAGGUUAAACAGAACAUAAGGUUAAAGUAACACAGCCUACAGAAUCAGAGUUGAUGCCGCAAUUGUAUAGUUAAAAACUAUAUUUACUCCAAAUUGCAAAAUGGUAGGUAUUGUAUGUGAUGUUUAAGUUGCAGCAAUUGUUCUAGUAAUAAAUGUAAUAUUCAGCAGCAUUUUUCAUAGACUACUCAGUUCAUCAUUAGUGCCAUUUUGCCUCUUUAUAAUAAUGUGCACUUUCCUUUAGAAAGAGCUUGGUUAUUUCUUUGGUUGGGCCUAUUUGCUCCUUUUUUAUGAGAGAUUUUUCAAUACUAUGAAAUGAUGCAGAGCAAAAAAGGUCCAUCCACUUCACUUGUGUUGCCUCCCGCAUUACCUAAACCACAACAGAACAAUGACAGACAACAGAGCCUUUCUCCUCUCUAACAAUUCAGUCACCAUGACAACCAGCAGAAGAACGUUGGGCCAGAAAAAAGCAUUGAGCUUGAGGGACUAGACUAAUCAAAAAAUGGAAUAACAUGGCAACAAUUACACUGAUGAGUGAGAGGGGAGCUACAGAUGCAUUCAGACACCUAUGGCAGCGCGGAGUCCACACAUUCAGCAUUUCGUGUUUAGUAUCUUGUGUUUUUGAGAGCAGGUUGAGACACAGUGGAACAGAUCUUUAA
rnacentral:lncRNA from 1 species